rnacentral:lncRNA from 1 species
CAGUCACAUAUUAGAUUGUAGCUUUCCAUAACUUUGUUUGGUUCAUUUGAUUAGGAGUUCAAUUAUGUUUAGUUUAUUUGAUUAGGAGUCAAUUAUGUAUAUUAAUAAUUUGUAUAGUUGUGGUAGGAUCUAAAGAUGUAUACAAAAGCAAAAUGUGCUAUGGGCAGACUCUCAUACUAUGUGACAUUCCAAAGAAAUGAUAAGUAGCAUUAUACAACGUAGCCUGCAUU